rnacentral:rRNA from 1 species
UACGAAGGGGGCUAGCGUUGUUCGGAAUUACUGGGCGUAAAGCGCACGUAGGCGGAUAGUUUAGUCAGAGGUAAAAGCCCAGGGCUCAACCUUGGAACUGCCUUUGAUACUGGCUAUCUUGAGUACGGGAGAGGUGUGUGGAACUCCGAGUGUAGAGGUGAAAUUCGUAGAUAUUCGGAAGAACACCAGUGGCGAAGGCGACACACUGGCCCGUUACUGACGCUGAGGCGCGAAAGCGUGGGGAUCAAACAGG